GGUGAGAUGGCCGAGCGGUCUAAGGCGCCAGACUAAGGACCAGGACAUUUGAUGUCCGAUAUAUCUGGUCCUCCGGGGCGUGGGUUCGAAUCCCACUCUCAUCA
rfam:Laccaria amethystina LaAM-08-1 unplaced genomic scaffold K443scaffold_417, whole genome shotgun sequence.